rnacentral:rRNA from 1 species
AUUGAACGCUGGCGGCAGGCCUAAUACAUGCAAGUCGAACGAGUGGCGGACGGGUGAGUAAUGUCUGGGAAACUGCCCGAUGGAGGGGGGUAACUACUGGAAACGGUAGCUAAUACCGCAUACCAUCGGAUGUGCCCAGAUGGGAUUAGCUAGUAGGUGGGGUAACGGCUCACCUUGGCGACGAUCCCUAGCUGGUCUGAGAGGAUGACCAGCCACACUGGAAUGGGGACACGGUCCAGGCACCUACUGGGGGAAGCGGUGGGGAAUAUUGCGCAUUGGGGGCAAGCCUGAUGCAGCCAUGCCGCGUGUAUGAAGAAGGCCUUCAGGUUGUAAAGUACUUUCAGCGGGAAAGCGUUACUCGCAAAGGAAGCACCGGCUAACUCCGUGCCAGCAGCCGCGGUAAUAC